CUCUGGGCGGCCAGGACCCGGCCAGGACCCGGCCAGGACCCGGAGGUGCAGGGCCCGUCGCCAGGGGGAGCCGGCCGGGGCCGCGGCGGAGUUCCCUCCGAGGCCAGCGGGGCAGGGUCGGGCCAGCUUCCCUCUCCCCUUCCCGUCUUACCAGGCGCAGGUCUCCGGGUCCGUGCACCACCAGGGUGAGGUUCUCGGCCUUGGCCGCCGCCAUGUCGUGCUCUCCCUCCUGGGUCGAGGCUGCAGUCCGCGGGACGUGUGGUGGCUCGAGUGACAGCCCCGCCAGGGUACAGGGACGGUUAGAGCUGGGAGGCCCCGGGUGUCAGAAAAGGCGCACGGCCGGCCGGGGGCGGGGCCUCCCCGUCCCUGACAACCGGGGCGGGGCGGGGCUAGCGUGGGGGGCGGGGCCUCCCUGCGGCGCCCGGGCCUCUGCCCGACAGGGGAUCGUUGCUGCAAUCAGAGUAGCCUGCAGAGGCAACAGCCACCAGACCGAUGUGCUCCGACUUCAGCUGCAGAAGAGGUUCCGCAAAGUGGAGCAGAGUCUCAGGACCGGCACUGAGAUUCUGAUAGGAGAAUAAGAGUACACAAGCAGCAGGCAGAGGGAGAGGGAGAAGCAGACUCUGCUGAGCAGGGAGCCCAACGUGGGGGGCUUGAUCCCAGGACCCUGGGAUCAUGACCUAAGCCAAAGGCAGAUGCUUGACUGAGCCACCCAGGUACCCCUACAAUAAGUUUUGAUGCAUGUGAAUAUCAUGAAGUCAUCACCAUAUUCAAGAUAAUGAGCAUAUCUGUCCUCAGAAAUUCUCUCCCUAUCCAAAGCAACCAUUGCUCUUCUUUCUUCACUACAUAUUAGUUUGCAUUUCCUAGAGUUUUAUAUAAAAAAUGGGUAUUAUUUUAGUCUGGCUUCUUUCACUUACCCCAGUUGUUUUGAGCUUCAUCCAAGUUGUUAAAUAUAUCAGUUGCUCAUUCCUUUUUACUGCUGAGUAUUAUUUCUUGAUAUGGAUGUACCACAAUGUGUUCUCCACUUUACAUAUUUGAUGGACACUUGGAUUGUUCCUAGUUUUUUACCAUUACAAAUAUGAUUGCUAUGUACAUUCAUGAACAAGUUUUGAUGUGGAUAUACGCUGGGUUAUUGUUACUCUAUGUUUAGCCAUUUGAGGAACUUCUAAACUGUUUCCCAAAGUGACUGCACCACUUUACAUUCCCAGCAGCCGUGCAGCCCAAGCUGAGAGGUCCAGUUUUUCCAAAUUCUCACCAAUAGUUGAUAUAGUCAGUUCCUUAAAAAGUUUAAGAUGUUUUAAUAUAUGUGUAGUGCAUCUCAUUGGUUUUUUAACUGAAAUAUGAUUAACAGUGUUUCAGGUUUUCAAUAUAAAAAUUCAACAAUAUAAAAAAAAAUUCAACAAUACUAUACAUUUCCCAGUGCUCAUCACAAUAAGAUAAUUCUCUUCACCUAUUUCACCCAUCCCCUACCUACCACCUCUCUGGCAAUCA